UUUUGCCUCUUCCCUGCAGACCAAGUUGGAUGUGCGUCCUCCGUCUGCCAGACCUCCUCUUGUGCCUCUUGCUGUAUGCAGAGCGUCGUGAUGACAGCUCAUCAAGCUUUCCAAUUUGAGUCUUCAGAUAGAUGGACAGACCCACACAGGGGACAACAAAUCAACCGGCAAAUGAAGCAUUCAGCCAGCUUGGGAGUUCUGCUUUCCAUUUUAAAUUAAUACACUGGCCUUCUGGUUUGUACAUCGGUUGUCCUCCCAUGGGUCUGGCUGGCAGGCGUUGUUUUCUGAGGGGCUGGCUGUGUCCGGGCAAGGCGGAGACCUCAAUCCUGGGCUGCUGGGAUGGGCCAAAGUGACCUUCGAUGGAGCAUCUCCCAGCUCUAGAACUACAGGGAUUUAUGAAACGUGGAUCUUUCCUGAAUGUUAAAUUUGCUGAGGGCCAA
rnacentral:lncRNA from 1 species